UGGGGAAUUUUGGACAAUGGGGGAAACCCUGAUCCAGCCAUCCCGCGUGUGCGAUGAAGGCCUUCGGGUUGUAAAGCACUUUUGGCAGGAAAGAAACGUCAUGGGUUCAUACCCCGUGAAACUGACGGUACCUGCAGAAUAAGCACCGGCUAACUACGUGCCAGCAGCCGCGGUAAUACGUAGGGUGCAAGCGUUAAUCGGAAUUACUGGGCGUAAAGCGUGCGCAUGCGGUUCGGAACGAAAGAUGUGAAAUCCCAGAGCUCAACUUUGGAACUGGAUUUUUAACUAACGGGAUUGAGGGUGUGAGAGGGAGGUGGAAUUGCGCGUGUAGCAGUGAAAUGCGUUGAUAUGCGGAGGAACACUGAUGGCGAAGGCAGACUCCUGGGAUAACACUGACGAUCAUGCACGAAAGCGUGGGGAGCAAACAUG
rnacentral:rRNA from 1 species